rnacentral:lncRNA from 1 species
GCCUGUGGCGAUCCCUGAGCUCCAACCUACUGUGCCAGGUGUGGACUUUGGGGGCAUGAAAUUUCUCAGGCAGGGUAGGCACCAGCCAGAUUCAAGGGCUAGGGCACUGCCCAGCAACCCCUCUGCCAAAGGGCCAGAGAGUGGGACACACCAGCACAGCAUCACCCAGAGUGAAGCCAGGGGUCCCUGGAGUGUCCCGAGUCCCCUGCGAAAGGGGCUGUUGUGGGGACACCCCACAGCCCACCACCUGGCCUUGCCCUCUCCACAUCUGCUAUGGUGCAAAUGUGGCCCCUCCAAAACCCAGGUGUUACCACCAUGACAGGAUUGAGAGGUGAUGUGGUUUUUUUGUUUUGUUUUGUUUGUUUGUUUUUGAGACAGAGUCUCACUCUGAUGCCCAGGCUGCAGUGCAGUGGUGCGAUCUUGCGGCCUUCACCUGCUGGGCUCAAGUGAUCCUCCCAUCUCAGUCUCCCCAUGGCCCAGCUGGGACCACAGGUGUGAGUGACCACGCCUGGCUAAUUUUUAAAUUUUUUUGUAGAGAUGGAGUCUCAUUAUGUUGCCCAGGCUGGUCUUGAACUGCUGGGCUCAAGUGAUCCACCCACCCC